CGGCGAGUGAAGCGGCAACAGCUCAAAUUUGAAAUCUGGCGCAAGCCCGAGUUGUAAUUUGUAGAGGAUGCUUCUAGGUAGCGACCGGUCUAAGUUCCUUGGAACAGGACGUCAUAGAGGGUGAGAAUCCCGUAUGUGACCGGCCCGCACCUUCUACGUAGCUCCUUCGACGAGUCGAGUUGUUUGGGAAUGCAGCUCUAAAUGGGAGGUAAAUUUCUUCUAAAGCUAAAUACCGGCCAGAGACCGAUAGCGCACAAGUAGAGUGAUCGAAAGAUGAAAAGCACUUUGGAAAGAGAGUUAAAAAGCACGUGAAAUUGUUGAAAGGGAAGCGCUUACAACCAGACUUCUGGGCGGUGUUCCGCCGGUCUUUUGACCGGUCUACUCGCCGUCCCGAGGCCAACAUCAUCUGGGACCGCUGGAUAAGACCUCAGGAAUGUAGCUUCCCUCGGGAAGUGUUAUAGCCUGUGGUGAUGCAGCGCGUCUCGGGUGAGGUCCGCGCUUCGGCAAGGAUGUUGGCGUAAUGGUUGUCAGCGGCCCGUCUUGAAACACGGACCAAGGAGUCUAACAUCUAUGCGAGUGUUCGGGUGUCAAACCCCUACGCGUAAUGAAAGUGAACGGAGGUGGGAAGGGUAACCUGCACCAUCGACCGAUCCUGAUGUCCUCGGAUGGAUUUGAGUAAGAGCAUAGCUGUUGGGACCCGAAAGAUGGUGAACUAUGCCUGAAUAGGGUGAAGCCAGAGGAAACUCUGGUGGAGGCUCGCAGCGGUUCUGACGUGCAAAUCGAUCGUCAAAUUUGGGUAUAGGG
rnacentral:rRNA from 1 species